rnacentral:rRNA from 1 species
UACGUAGGGUGCAAGCGUUGUCCGGAAUUAUUGGGCGUAAAGAGCUCGUAGGCGGUUUGUCGCGUCUGCUGUGAAAACUCGGGGCUUAACCCCGGGCCUGCAGUGGGUACGGGCAGACUAGAGUGCGGUAGGGGAGACUGGAAUUCCUGGUGUAGCGGUGAAAUGCGCAGAUAUCGGGAGGAACACCGGUGGCGAAGGCGGCAUCCUGGACCAAUUCUGACGCUGAGGAGCGAAAGCCAGGGGAGCAAACGGG